AGAGUUUGAUCAUGGCUCAGGAUGAACGCUAGCGGGAGGCCUAACACAUGCAAGCCGAGCGGUAGAGAUUCUUCGGAAUCUUGAGAGCGGCGUACGGGUGCGGAACACGUGUGCAUCCUACCUUUAUCUGGAGGAUAGCCUUUCGAAAGGAAGAUUAAUACUCCAUAAUAUAUUGAUUGGCAUCAAUUGAUAUUGAAAGCUCCGGCGGAUAGAGAUGGGCACGCGCAAGAUUAGUUAGUUGGUGAGGUAACGGCUCACCAAGACGAUGAUCUUUAGGGGCCUGAGAGGGUGAUCCCCCACACUGGUACUGAGACACGGACCAGACUCCUACGGGAGGCAGCAGUGAGGAAUAUUGGUCAAUGGGUGCAAGCCUGAACCAGCCAUCCCGCGUGAAGGACGACUGCCCUAUGGGUUGUAAACUUCUUUUGUAUAGGGAUAAACCUACCCUCGUGAGGGUAGCUGAAGGUACUAUACGAAUAAGCACCGGCUAACUCCGUG
rnacentral:rRNA from 1 species